rnacentral:tRNA from 1 species
GCACCUGUGGCUCAAAGGAGUAGGGUGCUGGCCCCAUAUGCCAGAGGUAGCAGGUUCAAACCCAGCCUGGGCCA